rnacentral:rRNA from 2 species
GCCAUGCAUGUCUCAGUGCAGCCGUACGCGUUCGCGCGUCUAGGUGAAACCGCGAAAGGCUCAUUAAAUCAGUUAUGGUUCCUUGGGUCGUACCCAUCAGUUACUUGGAUAACUGUGGUAAUUCUAGAGCUAAUACAUGCCGACAGAGUUCCGACCGCCUCGUGCGGGAGGAACGCUUUUAUUAGAUCAAAACCCAUCGGUACGAAGCCUCACGGCUUCGUACCGACAACAUUCGGUCCGUUCGCGGGCCGACCAAGUGGUGACUCUGAAUAACUUUGUGCUGAUCGCACGGUCUCAGUGCUGGCGAUGCAUCUUUCAAAUGUCUGCCUUAUCAACUGUCGAUGGUAGGUUAUGCGCCUACCAUGGUGGUAACGGGUGACGGGGGAUUAGGGUUCGAUCCCGGAGAGGGAGCCUGAGAAACGGCUACCACAUCCAAGGAAGGCAGCAGGCACGCAAAUUACCCACUCCCAGCUCAGGGGAGGUAGUGACGAAAUAUAACGAUACGGGACUCAUCCGAGGCCUCGUAAUCGGAAUGAGUGCACUUUAAAAAGUUCGACGAGGAUCCAUUGGAGGGCA